rnacentral:misc_RNA from 1 species
GUGAGUCAUCGAAUCUUUGAACGCACAUUGCGCCCGCUAGUAUUCUGGCGGGCAUGCCUGUUCGAGCGUCAUUUCAACCCUCGGGCCCAUGUGGUCUGGUGUUGGGGCCUUUUGCUGCGUUGCAAGCCCUGAAAGCAAGUGGCGGGCCUGUUGAGACCCUGAGCGUAGUAGUUUAUAACCUCGCUUUGGGGGAUCAGCGGGACACUUCCAGCCGUUAAAGCCGUCUCUAUAGAGACACUUACACAAGGUUGACCUCGGAUCAGGUAGGAAUACCCGCUGAACUUAAGCAUAUCAAUAAGCGGAGGA